UACGGAGGGUGCGAGCGUUGUCCGGAAUCACUGGGCGUAAAGGGCGCGUAGGCGGCCACCGCAAGUCGACUGUGAAAUCUCCGGGCUUAACCCGGAAAGGUCAACCGAUACUGCGGGGCUAGAGUGCAGAAGGGGCAACUGGAAUUCUCGGUGUAGCGGUGAAAUGCGUAGAUAUCGAGAGGAACACCUGCGGCGAAGGCGGGUUGCUGGGCUGACACUGACGCUGAGGCGCGAAAGCUAGGGGAGCGAACGGG
rnacentral:rRNA from 1 species